UGGGGAAUAUUGCGCAAUGGGCGGAAGCCUGACGCAGCGACGCCGCGUGAGGGAUGACGGCCUUCGGGUUGUAAACCUCUUUCAGCAGGAACGAAUUUAGACGGUACCUGCAGAAGAAGCACCGGCCAACUACGUGCCAGCAGCCGCGGUAAUACGUAGGGUGCAAGCGUUGUCCGGAAUUAUUGGGCGUAAAGAGCUCGUAGGCGGUUUGUCGCGUCGAAUGUGAAAUCCCGGGGCUCAACUCCGGGCUUGCAUUCGAUACGGGCAGACUAGAGUUCGGUAGGGGAGUCUGGAAUUCCUGGUGUAGCGGUGAAAUGCGCAGAUAUCAGGAGGAACACCGGUGGCGAAGGCGGGACUCUGGGCCGAUACUGACGCUGAGGAGCGAAAGCGUGGGGAGCAAACAGGAUUAGAUACCCCCGUAGUCC
rnacentral:rRNA from 1 species